GAGAGUCCAGACUGCCUCAGAUUUUUCAAGAGUUCCCCAGUAUCAUUUGCUGCAGAUAAACCAUCCUAUCAAACCCUAACUCUAAUCCCCUAGUCAAUCGAAUCGGAGAAGAAAGAUGUCUCACUUCGGGAGGUCAGGCCCUCCAGACAUCACCGAUACCUACUCUCUCCUCGUCCUUAACAUCACCUUCCGUACCACGGCUGAUGAUCUGUUUCCGCUUUUUGAUAAGUACGGGAAGGUUGUUGAUAUCUUCAUCCCAAGAGAUCGACGGACGGGUGAUUCGCGUGGUUUUGCAUUUGUGCGGUACAAGUAUGCAGAUGAGGCGCAGAAGGCAGUGGAGAGGCUGGAUGGACGGGUUGUUGAUGGACGAGAGAUAACAGUUCAGUUUGCAAAAUAUGGCCCAAAUGCUGAGAGGAUCCAUAAAGGAAGGAUUAGUGAAUCAUUUCCAAAAACGCGAUACAGGUCAAGAAGUCGCAGUCCCCGAAGGAGGUAUCGGGAUGAUUAUAGAGAUAGGGAUUACAGGAGGAGAAGUCGCAGUAGAAGCUUGGAUAGGUAUGAUCGUGAUAAAUAUCGUGGGAGGGACAGAGAUUAUCGUCGCAGAAGUAGAAGCCGGAGUGCCAGUCCUGACUACUAUAGAGGCCGAGGCAGGGGUCGAUAUGAUGAUGAUCGCCGGAGUGCUAGUCGAUCGAUUGACAGUGCAUCCCCUCCUCAGCGUAGUCCUAGUCCUCGCAAGAUGUCUCCUAGGGGUGAGAGCCCGGAUAGAUGCAGUCGUGAUGAACGAUCUACAACUCCUCGGAGUCCUUCACCGCGAGGUCGUCGUGCUGAUUCCCAAAGCCCAUCUCCAAGAAAUUCAGAUGUUGAUGAUUGAUUUGGUGGCCUACAUGGGAAUUCAUGGAGACAACUCGAGUAAUGUACUUGAUUGACGAUGCCAAUGUUCAGCAUUUAGUCACCAUGCAAUUUCUGAUCCGAAUAUUUAUUUGAUGUUAUGUUCGGGAAGACAGUGACUGGGGGCUUUGAUGGACAGAAUGUUGGUAUGGCUAUUGUAGCAGUUGAUGCUGUUUGUAAGUAGCGGUUGAUGCUGUUUUAAAUCGUAGAUGGAUGAUCGUUGAUUGUGAUGCUGGUUAUGUCAAUAUGCUGAUUGCACGAACAAAAUAUGAUAAACUUAUUUUCUUUGAGUGAUCUGAUAAUUGGUAAGAUCCACAGUCAAGUCUUGGUUUUUAAACCGUUGAAUGAUUCAGGUUUCUAACUUUUGACCUUAUUAUCCUCUGGUCUUUGCUGAUUUGAAAGUAUUGGCCCUGAAACACAUAGUACUUGCUGUGAUGAUAAAAAAAGGGUGCACAAAAGUUGAACGUGUUUUAACCUGUGGCUGAUGCUGCAUAUGAGAUGGACCUAUGGUAUGCUGGUCUGAAUUUGCAGCCACAAUAAUCGGACAGGUGAGUUGUAGCUCAUUGGUCCGUGACUGUAGCUGUAGCUGUGAAGUGGUAGCUGAUUCCUAUUCUGUUUGUGACAUACGUGAGAAUGUGGGUAACUUUGAAGUACUAACGAAUAACCACAUGUAGCGGGCUGUUGCUGCCCAUCUUGCUGGGGUCGGGGUUUUGAUUGAUACUAGCUAUUGGUCAGCUGUCCUGCUGGUUUGCGAUUCAAAUGAUCUUUCUUUGAGAUGCAUUCUACUGUUUGAUUUAUGUGGUCACGCAUUGCAUAUUCCUAUAAAUCAAUACAUCUGUUUGUAUUUAAUUUCAACACAUGAAGUUGAUUCUUUGAUCAGAAUCGGCCAUCAUUUAUUUUGAAUGCUUUGUUCAUCUUAAAAAAUCUAGGUUUUUGAUCUUUAUGGAGCUUGCCAUUACGUUAGAAAGAUGUUUUUCUUGUUGCUCUUCUUUAUGGUAAAGUUGUGCUGCAAUAUUUUGCAUUCUACAUCAUAGAUCUGGCAUUCUGAGUUAGUUUAACCUGUUCACAUAUCUGGAAGAUAAUAUUUGUCAAAAUUGCAUUUGAUGAUAAAUUUUCACCUUUCUUGCAUUUUCAUGUGGGAUUGUCAUUGGAUUAUAAAUAUAUUUUUUCCUUUGCAUAUAUUUAUACUUUGUCUUGAAUCAUGAAAUCUUCGUUUUAAUUCAGUCUCCUCUUGUCCAGUGUUCUGCAAUUUUCUCAUUGUAUUUUAUUUGAUCUCUUCUUGCAUGGUAAUUUUAAAUUUCAACAUACAAUAGGCCCAAGUCUGGUAGAAUAUCAUCUUUGAAAUUGAGUAGUUAAGCAUGGUUAUCUUUUUUGUCCUAGUACUCUUUACUUAGGAAUUACCAUAACCUUUUUUUUUUUU